rnacentral:rRNA from 1 species
CCCUUAGAUGUUCUGGGCCGCACGCGCGCUACACUGAUGCAUUCAACGAGUCUAAAACCUGCUCUGAUAGGGGUGGGUAAUCUUUUGAAUGUGCAUCGUGAUUGGGAUAGAUGAUUGCAAUUUUUCAUCUUCAACGAGGAAUGACUAGUAAACGCAAGUCAUCAGCUUGCAUUGAUUACGUCCCUGCCCUUUGUACACACCGCCCGUCGCUCCUACCGAUUGAAUGAUCCGAUGAAUAUCAUGGAUUGAGGAUGCAAGCAGGUUCGCCUGUCUUCAUCUUCGAGAAGUGAAGUAAAUCUUAUCAUUUAGAGGAAGGAGAAGUCGUAACA